CAGGGUCAUGUCCUUGACAACAUAUGUCAAGGUCAAAGUCAUCGGUGAGGUGUAACCUAAUAUGUAUAUUUACCGCUCGGUUUUUGCCGUCAAUUUGCUGUCAGGUUAUGUCAGCAAGCUUUGUCACCAAAACACAAGCUUAAUGCGGACACAGAUGGCACUGGAUUUGUUAUCAAGUUUUGAGCGAAUUUGAUGCCAAUUUGUUAUCAAAUUGCUUACUGAGAUAUUAUUGGUGAUUCUCAUUUUUUAGCUAUAAUAUUUCCUGGCAGGAUGUAAGUGUUCCAAAGUUUCAAAUUUUUAUUUUUUGGAUUUUAUUCGAAGUUUUAUCAAAGACAGGAUGUUUUUAUACAUUUAUACAUUCAUUAUACAUUUAUUUUCCAGGAUAUUUGAGAUUGAGGAAGUAUUACUACGUUAGCGACUGAUUUUUUAUCAAAUUUCCGAUGGGAAACAAAAUUGACUUUACAUUCAUCGAAGAAUCUGUGAUUCCUUAUGCUUUGCUACUAUGUAGAUAUAUGUAUAAAAAAAAAUUUGGCUAUAUAUUGUAACAUUCAAGUCGGAAAGUAACAAAAACUGGAAGUGCCGAAGUGUUGACAUUAGGCGAGUUGAUAAAAAUGAAAAAAAUUGUAAGAAGUAUUUUAAUUGUAAAUUGUCUAUAAUUCGAGUAGAAAAAAGAACAGAAAGAGAGAGAGAGAGAGAGAGGUGCAUAUAAACAUUAGUAUGAUUACAUAAGCUGCGUUUUCUUUUGAAUUUAAUUGUGGCAUUUUUAAAAUAGGGUAAGAACAGUAUCGAGAAGUUUUUAUUUCAAUAUUUACGAUAUCUAUAUAUCAUCUCGACAAUUCACACAACAUUCAAAAUCUGGAUGAUAAUUUUUUGCAAUUGUAACAUGAAACUUGUUUAGAUUUCUUGGAAUCUCUUGUAACUUGUUAUUCUUAUCAUACUAUGAAAUACAAAUGAUUAGCAAAUAAAUCUUUUCUUCCGAUUGAUCACAAUACACUGAAUGAAUCUGUAUAUUUCUUGUUUUUUUUAUCUCGUUUAUUUUGAAAGAAAAUAUACAAAAAACCACAAAUAAAGAACAAAUUGUGCAUAGAAAAAGAAAACAGAUGAUUCUUAUCUUAAUAUUGUGAAGAAAAUUUGCUUGAUGCAAUCGCAGAUUAACCGUUUGAUGAAAUUAAUGAUACAAUUCGAUUAGAAAACGUGACGUUAAUACAAAAUAAUUUAUAAACAAGGUAUUAUACAAAUAAUAUUAUCAUUUUAUUUCAGUUUUUCAUGAUUAUUUAUGAUAUACUUUAGAAUUACAACACUUAUAUUCUUAAAGAAGUUUUUUGUUUAAGAUGACAUUUUUAAUAUUAAAAUUAAAUAUUAUCGAAAUAGUAUAACAAAAACAAAAAAAUAUUUUUAGAUCUGCAUUGCAAGGAAAAUUUGAUUGAUGCAUCUGCAGAACAAUCGUAGUUAUAAUGAUGAAGUUAAUGCAAACGUGCUAAUCCGACUAGAAAACAAGAUAUUGAAUUCAUUGAUUAAUAAGCAAAGUACAAUGCACGUAAUUCUAUUUUAGUUACAAUUAUUUUUUUAUAUAUCUUAGAAUUAUAAUAUUUAUUCUUCAACAAUUUUACCGGAAUGGUCCCAGCAAACACAGUUAUGUAACUAUCAUAUUGUCUAAAUAUAACGAUGAAAUAUAACAUGCUCGUUGUAACAUAAA